CUUGGUCAUUUAGAGGAAGUAAAAGUCGUAACAAGGUUUCCGUAGGUGAACCUGCGGAAGGAUCAUUACAAGUGAGGCUACCGAACGUUGGAAACAGCGGUUAGGAGCUUACACCCACCCGUGUUUACAUACUAUUGUUGCUUUGGCGGGCCGUGGCCUCCACUGCGGGCUCUGCUCGUGUGUGCCCGCCAGAGAACCAAACUCUGAAUGUUAGUGAUGUCUGAGUACUAUCUAAUAGUUAAAACUUUCAACAACGGAUCUCUUGGUUCUGGCAUCGAUGAAGAACGCAGCGAAAUGCGAUAAGUAAUGUGAAUUGCAGAAUUCAGUGAAUCAUCGAAUCUUUGAACGCACAUUGCGCCCCUUGGUAUUCCGAGGGGCAUGCCUGUUCGAGCGUCAUUAUGACCACUCAAGCCUAGUUGGGUUAUUGGGGGCACGCGGUCUCCGCGGCCCUCAAAAUCAGUGGCGGCGCCGGUGGGCUCUAAGCGUAGUACAUACUCCCGCUAUAGAGUUCCCCCCGGUGGCUCGCCAGAACCCCCAAUUUUUUACAGGUUGACCUCGGAUCAGGUAGGGAUACCCGCUGAACUUAAGCAUAUCAAUAAGCGGAGGA
rnacentral:rRNA from 1 species